rnacentral:rRNA from 1 species
AGUGAACGCUGGCGGUAGGCCUAACACAUGCAAGUCGAACGGCAGCACAGUAAGAGCUUGCUCUUACGGGUUGCGAGUGGCGGACGGGUCAGGAAUACAUCGUAACCUACUUUUUCGUGUGGGUUAACGUAGGGAAACUUACGCCAAUACCGCAUACGACCUACGGUUGAAAGCAGUGGAUCUUUUGACCUUGCGCGGUUGAAUGAGCCGAUGUCGUAUUAGCUAGUGGGCGGGGUAAAGGCCCACCAAGUCGACGAUCCGUAGCUGGACUGAGUGGAUGGUAGGCCACCUUGGAACUGAGCCGCGGUCAAGAGUACUGAGAGACGGACCAGUGGGGAACGGUGGACAACGGGCGCAAACCUGAUACAGCCAUACGAAGUGGGAGAAGAAGGCCUUCGGGGUGUGAAGACCUCUUGUUGGUAGUGAAAAGCAGCAGGUUAAUACGCAGCUUUUCUGACGGUAACGGAAAAAGAAGCACCGGCUAACUUCGUG